rnacentral:rRNA from 1 species
UACGUAGGGGGCAAGCGUUACCCGGAUUCACUGGGCGUAAAGCGCGUGUAGGCGGCUGGCCAAGCGUGGUGUGAAAUCUCCGGGCUCAACCCGGAAACUGCACUGCGAACUGGCCUGGCUGGAGUGCAGGAGAGGGAUGCGGAAUUCACGGUGUAGCGGUGAAAUGCGUAGAUAUUGGGAGGAACACCAGUGGCGAAGGCGGCUCACUGGACCGGAACUGACGCUGAGGCGCGAAAGCGUGGGGAGCAAACAGG